rnacentral:rRNA from 1 species
UACGAAGGGGGCUAGCGUUGCUCGGAAUUACUGGGCGUAAAGGGCGCGUAGGCGGACAGUUUAGUCAGAGGUGAAAGCCCAGGGCUCAACCUUGGAAUUGCCUUUGAUACUGGCUGUCUUGAGUUCGGGAGAGGUGAGUGGAAUGCCGAGUGUAGAGGUGGAAUUCGUAGAUAUUCGGCGGAACACCAGUGGCGAAGGCGACUCACUGGCCCGAUACUGACGCUGAGGCGCGAAAGCGUGGGGAGCAAACAGG